GCGCGAGCGCCAAACGCUCAGGGCCCAGGGGCCCUGUCCAGGGGAAGGCCCCCACCCUCCAUGGCCACAGAGCCCUUUCCUCCCUUCCUGUUCCCCCCCUGCGCCCUCCCUCCUCUCCCGCCCUCUUUCCUUCCUCUCUUCCUUUCUUCCUGUAUUGACUGAGCACCUACUGGGGGCCAGCCACUGUUCCAGGCACAGAGGGGUGAACAAGUGCCAGGUGCCAGGCCCUGGAGCUGACAGUCUGAUGAGCGAGACAGCCCAUACCCAUGUGGACACCUGCAUAGACAAAAUAACCCCAGAGAGCCACAACUUGGGCAGACGGUCCCUGGGUAAGUCACCAAACGUCCCUGUGCCUCAGUCUCCUCAUGUGUUCAGUGAGGACGGUAACGGCCUCGUAUCGAAGGUGGUCGUGCAGAUAAAUGAGUGUGUGUGAAGCGCUCAGAAGGGCACCCAGAACGUGCUGAUUGGCACGUGCUGCAGAAAAGGCCUUCAUGUGGGACAAUGACAGGAUAACCCAGAGGAAGUCCCUUGGCAUCUACGUA
rnacentral:lncRNA from 1 species